UUUACCAUUUCCCCAAUUUUGGGUCAUCUGCAAACUUUAUCAGUGAUGAUUUUAUGUUUUCUUCCAGAGCACAGACGGGACAUUGUCUAGAUAAAAUUCUGUUUUUCCCUUCACCAGUUAUAUCUAUUUCUAAUAUCACCGCCGAGGACUAUUAACACUGAAAAACCAUUUUCAAAUCCAACAUAAAUUUUUCAUCAUUUGUUUGUUUACUUUUUGCAAUUCACUGAAGCACAAAACAGUGAAACUCUAUAGGUCUAUCAAUUUAACUUUCAGGUACUCAAGCACUAGAAGAAUGCUGAGGUGUUUGGGUUCCAUUCAUUGCAUGGGAAUGGCUAAAGGCCAGAAACAGAGUUCUCUGCAAUGUAUUUAAUAAAUAAAUAAACAAUCAAAUCCUCUCUGGUAAAGCUGAGUUUUGAAAAGCUUUUUAAAAAUCUAACUAAAGCUAGAUGUUGAUCAAAGAAUUUGACAUAGGCUUUUUCCCAUUACAUAAUACAUAAUCAGAGAAAAUGAAAAAGCAAUUUUACAAAUUCUUGUUAAACAAAAAAUUAAAGAAAUGUGAAAGUCACCAAAAAUCUUUCUUACUUGCAAUAUUUUAUUGUCAUCUACUGCAAGACGUUGUAAUAACGGAAACAUUUUAGUCUUGCAUCCUAGGAAAAGGAGAAUAAAUUUAAAAGACAUCAGUGAAGAUCUAAAUAUAGAAAUAUAAUACAGUGCUUACUUUACUUACCAAAUCCAACAUCAGGAAAGUGUAUAGAAGAAAUUCCAGUGUUUGAAAGAAUUAGUUGUUCUAAUCUGAAAUUUAGAAGUUAAAGUAUGUCUGUUAAAAAGAUUUUAGUAAAAAUACUAAAGUUUUUAUGUGAUACAACCCAUGUUAACUUUUUGACAGCAAGCCUUGUGAUUUAAAGAACAUUGUUACCAACUUCACAGCUGGUAACCAAGUUUAAAAGGCAGUUUACAGAAGGACAGCAGUGGAGUUCCAAGCUUUCAAAAUGGCAGCUUGCUUUGGAGAAGGAAGGAGAGAAGACAGGAAAAAUCUUGUGGGAUCCUUUCAUGUCCAUGGCUAAAAGACAAGAGCUGCCAGCCAAUUAAACAUUCUUGGCUACAUGACCACCUAUAAAAAUCUUCUCUGAUUGACUGCAUCACAAUUAGAAUAGUAAUCCAUUCAGUGUGUUGCCCAACCUCAUUUCCCAGAAUCAGAUGGACAUAUAGGAAGGGAGUGGUCAUAUGCAGUUAUUUAAUGCAUUUAAUAACAACUGGCAUUAUGUAUCCACUACCAAAGAAUUGCCCUCUAAAUCAGGAGCAAUCUCCAAAGCUCCUUAUCAUAGGAAGCCCAUACAGGUUCUAAGAGCUAGUUGCCCUGAAAAGGGUUUACUCUAGGAUAUGACUCUAUAAAUGCAAUAUCUGAAGUUCAAACUGUUGUGUAAAAAAAAAACAAAAAAAAAAAACCACCAAUUCCAUAAAUAUCUUAAUAAAAACAUGCUUUAAUUAAAUCUUAAAAUAAAAUUAAAUCCUUCCCCAGAUUAUGUUAAAUAGUUCAGAUACUCUUCACAAAAGAGCAAAAAACCUUAAUUUUCAAAAUUCUGUAACCUUCACUACCAAGGCAAUAUUAUCAUGCUUCAAACCACUAAGCAUAUGUGAAUGAAUCAAUUUACAGAGCAUGACAAAAUUUACAGUAAAAGUUCUUUAACAAUUACCUGGGAAGAUAUGCUAUUAGCUGCAGUUGACUUCCAUCAAUUAAUUGGUUGUUUGAAAGGUCUAACAAUUUCAAGGUCUGUAGAACGUUAAUGGGUCUGUAAGCAUUACAAAAAAUGCAAUUAUGUUUUUAAAUUGUUUUAAAAUAUUUAUACUCAUAUACACACAACUGUAUAAUAAAAAUCAGUGUGUUCACACACAAGUGUCCCAGAUCACACAGUAUGUUAAAAUCUCCUUUGCAAGAUUACCAUGGUAAUGGUAAUUUAACCCACAACUGGAAUUUAGUUUAAUUUUUAUCAGACAUGUCAUAUAACUUUAUGCAUACAGGAUAUUAAUCACAAAAGGAUGACUUUAGCAUUUAAAGCUAAACCUCAUACCUUUCUAAAACUGUAAUAUCAUUGGAAGCAAGGUACAAUUCUUCAAGUGCUGGCCACCCUGGAGCACACAGAAGAACCUAACAGGAAAACUUCAUUUAGUAUUAGUAGUAUAACUGUAUAUAUGCCAGAAUCUGUGCAUCAUAUAAAUUUUACUUAAAACACAUUCAAAGUAUGCCAUAACUAUCUAAAAUAAGCUAUCUGGAAUACUGUAUAUUUCAGGUUUCAGAGUAGCAGCCAUGUUAGUCUGUAUCCGCGAAAAGGAGGACUUGUGGCACCUUAGAGACUAACAAAUUUAUUUGAGCAUAAGCUUUCGUGACUAACAAAUAUAUUUGAGCAUAAGCUUUCGUAUUUUAUUUCAGUAACCCUCCCUAUUUAAUAGUAACUAUACCUCUGAUCCUGUAUCUCAUCUGCUAGUACAGAUAGAUGGUAGUCACUAGGAUUCCACAGAGCUACAGGAUUCACUGUUACUGGACUGGAAUCCAUAUUUCAAAAAGAAAAGGCUGCAGGGGAACCGACAACAUUGCCAUUUAAAUUGCAACUUUAGGAUAGUGUCACCCCAUCUUCCCCCAUUCUGUGAACCACCAUUUUCCAUUUGGAUUUUCAUGUUUGGUUUACAAAAUCAAGAACUUGGGAAAACUCUAAGGUUAGCCAAACAAGGCUUUUUCUAAGAUAUCGGGCUCUGAAAAAUCUCCACUAUUUUCAGUGGAACUAUGCCAAAUUGGCUUAGCCUAGAAACCUCAAGAUUUUAUUUUAGUCCUGGAUGGGAUCUAAUGCACGGUAUUAUUUCUGAUAAAGGCAGGUUGACAAUUUAAUCUAUCACUUUUAGGCCAGGCUUAUGCUAGGGAAAACGCGCACUGCUGAUACCCCUCGGCAGCAACAGGUCAUCUUCCUAGUGUACACAAGGUGUAAGACGAGGGUAACUAACAGGAAAAGCAAUUUGCACGUUUCCAUGCAUGGAAACAACUCAGACUUUCAUUUUCCUAUGUUGUAUCUGAGUUCAUAGAAAUAGGCUCUAUACUACCAGAUGUUUGUCUGUUCCUUUAUAAAUACAAGCAUAUUAAAACACCUACUAUAUAAAGUGAUGCCAGAACCACAUUUCAUAAAGAAUCUCAAUAUGGUUAUAUCAAAGUGGGUCAGUCACAUAAAAAUAACUUUAAAAAAAUUCACUGUUCUGUUCUAUAUUAGAAAAGUUGCACCAGUAUAACAAACUGAAAAUCAGUUUGCACAAACACACACCCCUAAUGCAGACACAUUAGAACCAGGUUAAACUUCAGAUAAACUAAACCUAUUUAAUUCAGUAAUUUACCAAGUUACCAAUUUAACCUGGUUUAAGUGCGUCCGCAUCAGGGUUUCAUGCCAGUGUAACAAGAAUUUUAGACUGAUUUAAUUAUACCGAUGCAUCUUUUCUCUAAUAUAGAUCAGACUCAAUUUUGGAAGAUUAUAUGAUCUAGUGUAACACCCUUACACUAAGUGUAAGCCCUUAUUAUGUUUUUACUGACCCAUGUAACCAAAUGACUAACAAAUAAAAACAAUUUACUUCAUAAAUGUAAGAAGCUCAUUACCUCUGCCCAUGUUACUCCAGUUCGAUUAAGUGCCAGAACCCUCAAUUUACUAAGUGUACAGGUUAUAGAAGCAGAUGGAAAUUUCAUCUUGUUUUCACUGUAUAAAAAGAAUAAAUAGGUUCUUAUUUCUGCAGCAUAAAACAACUCAAUUAUUCAACUAAAUCACCAAUUUAGAAUUUCAUAUUUCAAAACAAAAAGGAACACAUAGGAUUAGAGAGGCACAUUGUCAAGGACUUUGUAUAUUUAAAUAUUUUCCAACCUAUUUAGAAAAAUGCCUUGGUAGUUUGAGUGCAAAUUCUUUCCUUGCAAUUAGUUAAAGUACUGAAUUCCUUGCAAUUUAGUUAAAGUACUGAAGCUGAAGGGGUUAGUUUAAGUACCGAAGCAUUAAGGUGGGAAAAGGGAAUUAUUUGUUUUGUUACCAGAAAUAAAAGUGACAAGUCAAAUGUUGGGCCUAUCACCCUUGACACUGUAUCUUAGGAAACAGAUUAAAAUGAGGGUUGCAGCAGGAAAUUCUUGAAGAGAUUCAUCUUAUGACAAAAUGUCAUAGAGAUUACCAGACCUACCCCACUUAAUGCUCCAGUAAAGGAUUUACAUUAAUUUGUCAUUUUGUUAAAAAUGUCUUUUUUAUUGUUAGCAGCUAGACUUUGUAUUGUACACUAUUGGAAAAAUGCAACUCCUGCUCCUAUGAAAUAGCGGUAUAAUAGAAUAUGGACUCUUCUUGUAAUGGGAAAGCUUUCACACCAGAUAUGUACACAAGAGAAGCACCAAAAAGAGGAUAGGUAUUUAGAAACUUAGCCACCCUUUUUAGCAUACUCAGAACAGGACUCCCCCCACUAUCAGCAAUCCAGAAUCUUUAGCCAGGUUCUUUAAUACCUUGUAAGAACAUAAGCACAGCCAUACUGGGUCAGACCACUGGUCCAUAUAGCCCAGUAUCCUGUCUUCCGAAAAUGGCCAAUGCCAGGUGCUUCAGAGGGAGUAAACAGAACAACUAAUUAUCAAGUGAUCCAACCCGUCAUCCAUUCCCAGCUUCUGGCAAACAGAGGCUAGGGACACUUCAGAACAUAGUUUUGCAUCCUGAAUAACUAAUAAGUAAUGUUCAGUGUAGUAUGCUAAGGUUUUAUUUUAACUUUGCCUUAAUAAACAAAUUUUUUUAAAAAAAAUUAGAACUAAAUAUUAUGCAUACAUGCCAGAACAUUGAUAAAAUAAGGAUUUUAAGGACUCAGAGCCACAGAAAAAUGCUGACAUUAAAGAGCUUAUACAUGGUGCCAUAGUGUCCUUAAACUAACUCUAGGUCCUAUUUCCCUCCAAACAUUUCUUUCCUCUGGGCUUCCAUACAGAGGGAAAAUUACCAGAAGAGCUAUGUCAGUACAGCAGUAUAGAUAUGCAGGUAAAUCUCCCCAUGUAGACAAGCACUUAGAGAUUUGAUAGCAGGCUUCCCCAGUUUUCAUCUACUCUCACCCUCCCCGCACCAGAACUGUUUUUACUAUAAUUGUGUAUCUACUUCCACCCUUUUUUAAAAAAAACUGACAACUUCUGACAAAAGGGCCAAAUAAAUCCAAAAAUUCUGUUUGUGUCAUAAGCACCAUUUUUAUAUAAUCCAUUUGAAUCAUAACUCCAAAAAACACACUAUAAAUCUGGAUUACAAAUUUUAAACACUCAAGGAUUAAAACUUUGUAUCAGAGUAAUUAAAAAUAAUUAUCUUAUUUUUCCUACUGAUACUAGUCAAGGCCCUGUAUACCCUGCAGCAAACUGGGCCUAAAUCCUGCAGCAACUUCAUUUUGGCAGCAUUCUGGCGCUGAAUUCUGCGAACAAAUGGAAAAUCUCCAACAGCUUCAAUUUAAAAGUUGUGGUCUUUUUUUAAACUGAACUAAGUAGGAGAAGGAAUACAGUCAGUAAACCAUUCCUUUUUUAUUUUGAUAUUAAAUUCAGUUUAUUUUAUGUCACCGUCAAAUUUCAGUUUGCCUCAGGUUUUCGUAUUGACACAACUCCAUUGUAGAAAUUGACCAUGGAGCCCUUGGACGCUACUAUGGGGACAACUGUGACUUUUGACACAGAGAAAGGUAUGGAAGAUUUUUGGUACCCAGGAGUCUUUUGGUACUGGGGGAGUGCAUCGUGUCUUUCCCUACCCUUAUGGGAUAGGGGAAGAGGCAACUUAAUUUGGGAGUAAGGGAACCUGCACUCCUAAUUCCCCAAAUGUGGAAACCAUGACAAUAACCAGCAGCCAUACUGUCCCUUAUCCUAAUAUUUUGCUAUUUCUUCCAACAAUGAUGGGUAACAUUAGCUGAAUAUUUCUACUUAAAAAGGAUCAGCUUUCAAAGUGUUAAUGUUAAUAUUUAAACAUGUUUGAGUUAAUAUACUCCAUGCUGAUGAACGGAGAAGUUUGUCUAUGAGUUAUGGUUUCAAGCUGUCUGCUUACAUACUCAGGAAGACCACAAUGUAUCAGUUCACAUUUGGAGGUUUUCUUAGAGUUUGUGUCGGGGGUUGCCCUAUUUAUUUAAAUAAAAGUUAAGAUUUCACAACAUAAUUCUAUUGCAAAUUCCUUGGCCAUGAAAUUAUG